rnacentral:misc_RNA from 1 species
CCCUAGCCCCGAUAGUAACGGUUACCCCGCAGCACGCAUUGAAGACUGGGUUUUGGACGCUGGAAUGUAUGGGGCGAGGAGUAAGAGUGGAUAGCGGGAAAAAGC